rnacentral:rRNA from 1 species
CGACUCUCGGCAAUGGAUAUCUCGGCUCUCGCAUCGAUGAAGAGCGCAGCGAAAUGCGAUACGUGGUGCGAAUUGCAGAAUCCCGCGAACCAUC